ACAACUUAUACAUAUGACAUACGAGCCUAUAAGGCUGACAUGACCAUUCUCAAAGCAUAUGCCGACAAGGCCAUUCAAAUAUUCAUACAUCUAACAUCUAUCUACAAGCCUCUAAGAGUACAUAAAAUCAUAAAGGUCAGGACAGGACCCCGCCAUACCAAUCAAUACCUAUCCAAAGCAUACUGAACAAAUAAGCAACUUUGGAGCAAGUAGAGGGUGCCAACAUCUUUGCUGAGAUGAUAGCCUAACAUGAGGACUGUCAACCAAUCAAUCAAGACAUGUGGGCAUGAAACACAGCGUCCCUAGGAAAAAAGGGAUGUCAGUACGAAAAAAGUACCGAGUAUGAAUGGCAGGAAAACAUAAACAUGAAGAGUAAUGUAAAGAGUGAUAGAGAAGAUACAACCUAUAACACAAGUGCCUCUAGGGGCUACUGACAUGAAAUGCACAAUACAUAUAUAUACAUAAACUUUUGAAAAUAUAUGCCUCUGUGGGCAUCAUUAUCAUCAUAUCAUACCAGGCCUCAAAGAGCACUCAGUAAAUACGCACCCAACUAUCAUAAGGCUCGAUUGAAUUAUACCCAGCCACGUGGAGCUCGGUAAACCUAACUGAUCAGUGGUUGCACAAGAGGUGCCGUACCCGGCUGAUUAUAGCGCGGCUCGGUAGAGUAAAACAGAUACAUGUAUAUAAUGCAUGCUCGACUCAUGAAAUUACGUUCUAAACUUUCGGAGUGACUUAAGAAUAUUAUGGACAUCUAUACCCUCAAUAUGAACCUCAUCAGGAUUCAAGGAUCAUACACACUUGCUCAGAAUAAUUUUAUAAGGAAAUAACAACAUGGACAACCUUAGUUGCUAGGAGUAGAUUCAUUAUGAAAUAGCGUAUUCAUUUCAUAUUAGAUCAUGCCAAAAGAAAGAAGGAAGUGCCUUAACAUACCUUAAAAAUGUUGAGUCCUUAAUACCUUCUAAGAAACAAUCCUCAACUCCAACUAUCUUCAGUUAGUAACUUUAUUCACUCGUUCAUGUCUACUCCAUCCAUUUAACUUAAUCAAGAUCAAGAUAACCUUAAGCAGAUGAAAGAACGUAAUACAUACACCUCCUACAGUAACUUCUAGUCGAAAUCCAAGUUAUAUUCAGCUUACAACAACCCUCAAUGGUAAUACAAUACCAUAGAAGUGACUUAAGCUAAUCCAAGUAUUAUCUUGUAGUUUAUCAUCCUAACAACUUAACCAACAUACAAGAAAGCUUAAGCACAAUUAGUAGGCUAUUAUAAUCAGCUUCUACAGCAGCAAAAACUUGGAAUUUCCUCGAAAUACAUCCCACAAUAAUCCUCAAUGACAACACAAUCUCAAAGAGGUGUUGUUCUUCACUAGGACUAGGUUUUGAUGUUGAAAUAUAGUGUAAUCACUUUAGAAUCACUUCAAAUCCUUGUGCAAUCUGUAUUGAAGGGUUAGGAGAAGUUUUGAGACGAAGUUUAGUUGAAAAUGAAUUAAAAAUAGGCGUCCCAAUCAUUUAUAAAGUGAAGUAGGUCGACCAUCGCCUAAGUGGGUCCCAUUGGGAGCUGUUUGUGCGACCUCGCUGAAACGCAAAUGUCUCUCUAUUUCGAUAUCAUAUCGAAAAAUGAUUUAAUGAACUAGAAAUUAGACUCGUAAAUCUUCAAUUUGAUAGGUAGAUCACCCCAUAAUUCCAAGCAUAUUCAGAGAAAAGAGCAUCUAGAUUUGACCUAAUCUUCAUUAAAAUUAUGAAUGUAACUUGUGAUAACCUUUGCCAACUCUUGUUCCACAACUUGCUUGCCUUCAAAAUGUAGUAAAUAUAAUACGACUAAAUUAACUCAUAACAUAACCUCUUUAUCAUGUUAAUCACCCUAGUCUCACCCCAAAAGCAUAUUUUAUAAGAUUCCAAACUUGUUGACUUUCGACGAAACUUAUUUUCUUCAAUUUGUUUAGCGUCUAAGAUUUCCAACCCUUUUGGUACUUGUUAUUCAUGAUCUUAAAUAUUUUUAUCCUCCAAGAUAACAUCAUGAACUUAAAUUAUGUACUUUUAAAAAUGAUGUCAUUUCGAGCUUACAUCAAUUGGCUUAUGACAUACUCUCACGUACGAAAACAUGGGAUGUAACAUUAUUCCCCCUUUAGAACACUCCUCAAAUGUUGACUAAUGUGGUUAUCAGUUUCAUAAAAUAUAGGUCUUAGAAAUAAUUUAGUGCUCAUCUUGCCAUCUAGACAACUCUUUUAUGGAUAACUCCAAAUGCCAAGGCAUUACCUCCUUAGGCAUCUUUCUCAUGCCAUGACAUGUGGUCGGAAUUCAUCCAAUCUUGUAACUGUUGCUACCUUAUGUCAUGCGGUAUGUAUGACUGUGUCCUUGUAUAAGAACCUAGCGAUUCUUCUCCACUUUUUCCUUCAUCUUUUAGCCAAUCUCUAAGCCUCACUUUAUGAACAUAUACAAAAUAUGACAAUCUGUACCCCUAGGCUUCUAUAGGUAUACUGAUGUCUUUCGCUUGGUACUUUAUCGAACUUAAGACUAUUGCUAUCUCUUGUUUAAUAGCCAUGGAUAUCUAUACUUAUGGAUUUUCUUUAUCUAGGUAGGUUAUACUAUACCAUAAAACUUAUUUCAGUUUAUUAUUACCGAGGUUUGCUACUCAACUCCAGGUUACUCUCUUGUUGCUUAUCCUAUCUAUAUAAAUUAAAUCCUUUAGUGCUUCCUCAUUAUUAUUCAUCUUAAGAAUAACAAACAAAUGUCAUCUCGUACUUCGGAACUUGUACCGAUCUGUUGUUUAUUCACCUUAUUGUUGAUCUAUAAUCUAUCAUUGAUAACUUGCAACCUCUUACGUAAUACACAGUCACUAGGGUCACAUCACAUCAGGGAACAUCCAAAGUGAUUUUCUUGAUCCACCUAGGGAUAAUACUAUACUUCAAUAACCUUAUUUCAUUGCAUCCCGACGCGAUUCAUCUUAUAGGGGUAUUCUAAUCCUGUAUAAUUAAUGAAAUCCCUUUCUUGUUAAGUCGUUACUCAAUCAAGGCCUAAGCAUUAUCCUCUUAUCUAUCAUAGUUACACCCUUAUUCUACCACAAGGGCAGCAUUCCAUCUCUUCUGAAUGCACCUAGUCUUAGACUCCUUUGAGUUCAUUCAGGAUGUACCAAGCUUUCAAUAGCUUACGAAUGCCAUCAACUCUCUUGUUUGAAUGGGUUUAAUCCCAAGGACGUACAUAUUAUUGUUACCUUCUCACUCACCUUUUCAUAUCCUUACUCCUAUCUACCUAAACAUUUUUGCUCUAUAAUACUUUAUCUUAUGACCUACACCUAUCUAUUUAUACUACUCGCAACCUUCCUUUAACUUGCUAGCACCAUAAAUUUCCUUUUGUGCCUUCUCAGUUGUCCUUAAAUGCAAGAAAUUACUUUUCCUGAUCGUUCUAUCACUUGUUGCAUGAAUACUUGGCUUCUCUUAUUGCCCACAAAUAGUGUAAUUUCCUGUACCUCAUAUAAUCUCAAACAUCACCUUUGAUUUGUUUCCCAUUCACUAGCCACGAUAGGUGCCACUUUCUUAUGGAGUGUGCACAAUAUUGUAGUGACACUAUUGUUAGAAGAUCUUUACUCUUAGCUCGCUAUACUUAGUUGGAAACCUUCUCCCUUUCCUCAUCUAGUCUUUUGUUGCAGUAUUUAGGGAAACCGUCUAAGUCUUGUAAAGUUUCAAACGUGUAAUAUCAUGCACCCGAACGAAAUUUUCAUUGUUCUUACUCACCUAUAAUAAUCGUUAGUUACAUAACUUCAUGCCUUUGUACUUGUAGGGUUACUUUUAAGCUCAAAUUUUAAUUGUUUCCUUAGUGGCACUCUCUCUUAUUUUCAUAAACCUUAAACGUUAACUUUACUUGCCUCAACUCUCAUCUAAAAAUUUUCAAAUUAUUGCGACUCGUAUCUGCGAGACUGCAUUCACUAUGCUGCGGUUCACUAUAUAUAUCUUGCAUAAUUUGUUGAUUUAUCUAUAAAUUCUCGUCUAGCCAUAAUCGGGCUCACCCUAAAUCAGCUACUAAUUACUCGUUGGUACACACACACACACACGUAUACACACACACACACACACACACAUAUAUAUAUAUAUUACAUCAAUUGGCUUAUGACAUACUCUCACGUACGAAAACAUGAGAUAUAACACUGUUAUUAAACUUUAGCCACUAGCUCCUGAUGUAUCAAGUGUCCAUUCACAGUUAUUUAUCAAUAACAUCCUGGCCAGAAACUUUUACUGCAUCUUCCCAAUGUCGUUCUUGUAUAAUGUUCUGGAGUCAAAAGAUAUCUGUAGGAAUUGAGUAAAUGCAACAUCAUCCCUCUAUCCUUUUUACCAUAUUCCUCUAUCAUUUCUAUAAUUACUUGAACCGCUUAACUCUGACUUAAUACCAUAUCACACCAUAUUCCCCCUUUAGGGGAGUACCAAGAUUUAGUACUACGACGAUCUAUCUAUAGAUGUUUUACCUCUUCAUCUUUAGUGUCUUUUCACAUCAUCAAUUAACCUUAAUUGCCUUAUGGUAACCUUAUGUACCAGGGAUAACUAAAUUUCUUACGCAUGAAGGUGACACCUAGCGUAAUUGGCACACUUAGUCCCUUAUGAUUAACUCUGCUCACAGUGCUUGCUCUAGGGAAGGAUCUUACUGAAUGGACUUUAAAGGUUAUUCUUCUGUUGUCCAUUCUUUUAUCGUCAGAACACAAUUUCUAAAAUUCUCAUGAUGACGCCUAUUAUCAAAUUUUUCAAUUACCAAUUCAUGUUCAGUUUAUCUUGUUCACCAGCCCAUACUUGUUUAUGUUACUCCAGGGUCUACCUUUUCCUUGUGGUAAUAGUGUUAGAGUCACCAACUCAUUUCUCAAAAUAGGGAUAUGGCUUUAUGGAUUAUACACUUUUAUUUCAUCACGGCGUGUAACCUUUUGUCAUUCCCUUUACUUGACUAUAGAUUAUGUCAUUCUAUCAUACUUUGAUUAACUAUUAUCUCCCAUUUAUCACAUCUUACUCAUAAUAUUUCAUUUACUCUCUUCUUAUUCUCCAACUAAUAUUUCUAUCUAUCCUUUAUUCUGAAAACUUCAACAAAAUAUUCUUUCACUUUUAGCUCUUCUUGCUUCAUCUCACUGGCUCUUCGGGAUGCCUAAAAUUCUCUCUCUCUCUCUCUCUCUCUCUCCAGGGUCCGGAGUCAAACUAAGGCAAAUAAUUAUCCUUUUUAGGAUUCCGCUGCCUAUCUUCUAAAAUUUCUGAAUAUUCUAGUAUUCAUAUGUGAUUGUAAUACAUUAGAGUUCACUAUCUGGGUGUCUUACAGGGAGAUCUAUUACCACAUUUGCACCAUCUUUCGAAAAUAUUAGUUAAUGGUAACAACUGAUCCACAAUUUUUGGGUUACGCUAACUCCAACUGGAUCCUGAUAUCUCAUUUUUCUUUUAAAUAAUAUCUAUUAGCUCCCAUAGAACAUAAUGGAGAUGGGUGUGGCCAAUUGUACGUACCCAUGUCAUUGAUGAAGGUACCAAAAUGCUUAUAUUUCUCAGCUUGAUUUGAAUAUAUUGAUAAUUUUCGUUAACUUGGUGCCUCGUACCCCUCUUCACCUUACUUAUUUUACUUGUUGAAACUUGUAUCUAGCUGCUGAAACCCCUAUAUCUUUUCACCAUAUUCGUGAAUAAAUAUCCUUGCCUUAAGGCUCCUUAUUAAGAAGCUUACACAUCUUAGUACACACAUGAUCUGCUGAAGACCUCAUAUUUAAUCAUCAUAAACAUGAUGUGUGAUCGAGUUCCUCUGACUCAACUCUUUUAUAUAGACAUGAAAUCUCUUACCAAUGGUCUUCGUGGAUGUAAGUAUCAUUGUAUUACAACUAAAGUCGAAUAUAGGAGUUUGAAUUCUUACAACUGAGCUCUAAUACAUAAUCUAGAGUAAGAAGAAAGAGUGACAUACCUAAAUGCCCUGUAGCCUCCUGCUUAUAAGUAUGGUGCACUACACACCCAUAAAUAAGACUCUACUAGACAUGGCUUGUAGACUCCCUAUGACAGAACUACUCUAAUACCACUUUUGUCAUGACCCAAACCGAAGGCCCGCGAUAGGCACCCGGUGCCUUACUCAGCCGAGUACCAACAUAACCAAUGAUCAUGACAUGCAUUUUAGACUAAUUGGCCCAAUCUGUCCAAACAAUCAACUUUCAGCUGUCGUACUUUGUGCUCUGAGAUCUUCAAAACCCUAUUUAUUUACCAAAACCUUGACCUUGUUCGGCUUGCAGUGCCCCGAAUGGUUUUCACCAACAAGCCUCUCUCAUUUUUUAUCCCUCAACUCAUUAUUGCCUUAAGGUGCCCAUGGAGGUUUUCACCAAUAAGAAUGUCAUUUUUCUUUUCCUUCUAAGACCAGAGUGUUGCCCCUUCUAUGAAUCACUUUUACUUGCUUGACUUGGCAUCUCUCGAAAACUGAUCGGAAGAUCUUUCUUUGGAACAUAAUGUGGGCUUUUAGAUAGGGUUAGAAAGAAAGGGUAGAAAAAAUCUCAAAACAACUUGAGUGGGUUCAAAAUUACAACUUUUGGAAUCAAAUUUAUAACAAAAACUGCAAUUUUUGCCCCAGUUUCUUUGCUUGGGGACUUUUGGAUUUUAUUUUGAUGGGACUGAACCGUAAGGCUGCCUACGUAUCCUUAAAGGAAUCAGGUCAAAUGUAGUUCAUGCAAUAGGAAUUGGAUUGUUUGUUGUGAUUUUCUCUUUUCUCUUACUUUUAUUUCUCUCUUUUUUUAUUCCUUGUUUCUCUUUUUGUUGUUCUAUUUUUUCUUUACUUUUCCACUCCGUUUUUUUCUUCUCCUAUUUUUUCAUUUUUUCAUUUUUUCUCUCUCCUUUUCCUUACUUAUCUUUUGUGCUUGUGUUUUUUAUCUUUGCUACUGAUUCCAAAAGUGGGUUAUGAAAGAAAAUAAAUAAAUCUCAAAGGGGUGACAAAGGAUAAAGUGUUUAGAUAUCAGAACAAAAUGUUUUCGUCAUUCCAAUCUUCAAUAUAUGCCAAGUACAAAUAGAUACAAUUUAACCAAAGAAAAUAAUACAUAAUAUCUCUUGACCGCAUCGGAAUUGAUGGUCAUUUCCACACAUUUUCCUUCUACAUCUGUUAAAUAGAAAGCACCAUUGGACAACACUCUCGUCACGAUGAACCGCCUCUGCCAAUUUGGGGAAAACUUGCCUUUUGCUUCAACCUGAUGUGGAUGGAUACAUUUCAAUAUUUGCUGACCUACUUCAAACUUCCGUGGAUGCACCUUCUUGUUAUAUGCCAUUGCCAUUCUCUACUGAUAUAACUGGUCGUGGCACACUACUACCAAUUUUUCUCAUCAAUCAAGUUUAGUUGCUCCAGACGGGUUUUAACCCACUCAUCAUCAUCAAUUCUAGCCUCAGCGAAAAUACGAAGAGAUAGGAUUUCAACCUCCGCGGGUAUCACUGCUUCAGUGCCAUUUACCAACAAAUAAGGAGUUGCCCCUACUGAAAUACGAACAAUAGUGUGAUAACCCAACAAUGCAAAUGGCAUCUUUUCAUGCCAUUUCCUGGAACCCACCACCAUUUUUUGAAGAAUCUUCUUUAUGUUCAUGUUGGCUGCUUCAACUACCCCAUUCACCUUGGGGCGGUUUGGGGUGGAAUUGCGUUGUGUAAUCUUAAACAGCUGACAUACCUCUUUCAUCAGAUGACUAUUGAGAUUUUUACCAUUAUCUAUGAUGAUUACCUUCAUCAUCCUAAAUUGGCAAAUGAUAUUUGAAUGCACAAAAUCGACCACCGCUUUCCUGGUUAUGGUAUGAAAGUUUUAGCUUCAACCCACUUGGUGAAAUAAUCAAUGGCAACCAAAAUAAACAUGUGCCUAUUGGACAUUGCUGGCUCGAUUGGCCCAAUGACAUCCAUGCCCCAAGAAACAAAUGGCCAUGGUGCAGACAUUGUAUGCAAUUCAGAUGGUGGAGAAUGAAUCAAAUCUCCACUCACCUGACAAAUAUGACACUUGCGCACAACAUUUAUGCAAUCUCGCUCCAUGGUGAGCCAAUAAUAAGCUGAUCGGGGAAUCUUCUUUGACAGAACAUACCUACUCAUAUGCGGUCCACAAACUCUGGAAUGUACUUCGGUUGUGAAGGUCAUGGCCUGUCUAGAAUCUAUGCAUCUCAAUAAUCCAAAAUUUGGAGUUUUUUUUGUACAAAACCCCUCCACUAAAAAAAAUCUGCUUGCUAACUGCCGAAUUGUUCUCUUUUUAUCACUUGUGGCUUGUACUGGAUACACCUCCAUCAUGAUAUAUUCCUUGAUAUCGUGAAACCAAGGCUCACCAUGAAGUUAUUCUUCUACCGCAUUAUAGUAAGCAUGUUGGUCAUGGACUUGAAUAUGCAACAGGUCAUCAUAAGACUUAUCCGAAUGAUGUAACAUUGACGCCAAUGUAGCCAAAGAAUCAGCAACCUCUUUAUGGAUCCUUGAAAUAUGUCAGAACUCCACUGAUCAAAAUCAUUGACAAAGAUCAGGCAAACAUUUCCAGUAUGGUAUGAGCUCCAAAUCUCAUAUUUCCCAUUCCUCUUGAAUCUGGUACACCAGAAGGUCCGAGUCCACCAAGACCAAGACUUCCUGGACACCCACGUCUACAGCUAACCUCAAACCCAAAAUGCAUGCCUCGUACUCAACCAUGUUAUCAGUGCAAUAGGAAUGAAGCUGACCCAUAACAUGGUAGUGAUGUUCUCUUUCAAAAAUAAGUACAGCUCCUAUCCCAGCGCCCUUCAUGUUGGCGGUCCCAUCAAAGAAAAGUUUCCAUCCUGGCUUCUCAACUGUUUCCAACUCAUCAAUGUGCAUUGCCUCUUUGACUGGGAAGUAAGUCUUCAAGGCUCAUACUCCUCAUCCAACGGGUUCUCUACCAGAUGCGAUGUCAAAUUCUAUAAGUAAGAUCUGUCACUUUGUGAGCCUCCAUGUGGGCAUGGGCUUCUGAAAGAUAUACUUCAACGGAUCCAAAUGAGAGAUGAGGUAAGUUGUGUGAGAUGACAAAUAGUGCUUCAGCUUUUGUUCUACCCAAGUUAGGGCGCAACAUGUCCUUUCUAGGUGAGUGUACUUAACCUCGUAAGAUAUGAACUUCUUGUUGAGAUUAUAGAUGGCUUGCUCCUUCCUGCCAGCUGACCUAACACACAACCAAACGAAUUAUCCAAAACCGUUAAAUACAUAAUCAAAGGUCUCCCCGGUUUAGGUGGCACCAAUACAGUUUGUUUGACAGGUACCCCAUUAUCUUAUCAAAUGCUUAUUAACACUAAUCAGCCAUUUGACUGCAGAAUCCUUCUUUAACAGUUUGAAGAUAGGCUCACACGUUGUCGUAAGCUAGGCAAUAAACCUGCUGAUGUAGUUCAACCUCCUCAAUAAACUCAUUACCUCAGUCUUGUUCCUCGGAGGUGGCAAUUCUUUGAUAGCUUUAAUCUUUGACAGGUCCAGUUCAAUACCUCGACGUCUGACUAUGAAUCCCAAUAAUUUUCCAGACGGCACAACAAAUGCGCAUUUUGCAGGAUUGAGCUUAAGAUUGUACCUGCAAUGCCUUUGGAAGAAUUUUCUCAAAUCUUUGACAUGGUCAGACUGAUUUCUAGCUUUACGAUCAUAUCAUCCACAUAAACCUCGAUCUCAUUGUGUAUUAUGUCGUGGAAUAUGGUCAUAAUUGCCCUCAUGUAAGUUUCCCUAGCAUUUUUCAACCCAAAAGGCGUGACCUUGUAGCUGUAUGUUCCCCACGGUGUGAUGAAUGUUGUAUUUUCUGUAUCCUCCUCAUCCAUUAGAAUCUGAUGAUAGCCCGCAUAGCAAUCCACAAAAGACCCAAUCUCAUGUUUUGCACAAUUAUCAAUCAGAAUGUGGAUAUUUUGCAAUGGGAAAUUAUCCUUUGGGCUUGCCUUGUUGAGAACGCGAUAAUCAACACACACCCUGGUCUUACCAUCCUUCUUUGGUACACGCACAACAUCAGCUAACCAAGUGGGAUACCGCGUGACUUGCAUGACCUUUGCCUCGAACUUCUUUGUGACUUUCUCUUUAAUCUCUACUCUCAUGUCAGUUUUAAACUUCCUUAACUUCCAUUUGAUGGAAGGACAUGCCGGAUCAGUGGGCAAUUAGUGAACUACCAGGUCAGUGCUUAGACUUGGCAUGUCAACAUAUGACCAUGCAAAAAUAUCUUUGUAUUCUAACAAUUCUUUGAUGAUCUCUUCCCUGAUUUGUGGUUCAAGAUGGAAAAUUAUCUUAUUCUAUGAUGUUAUCGGGGUCCCCUAAAUUGAUUGCUUAUGUAUCACUUAUGUUAGGCUUAGGGUUUUCUUCAAAAUAGCUUAAUUCUUUACUAAUUUCUUCAAAGGCCUCAUCCUCAUUAUAUUCUAAUUCAUUGUCUCAUUCUAUUUCGUGAAUUAUUAUUUCAGAAUUAGAUUGGCUUUCAAGAUUAGGCCGAAGAUUUCUCGUGCAUAUCAUGUCAUUGAAACCAACAUAAAAAGCACUGUACAAUAACGGAGAAAAGCAAAAUUGAAAACUAUCAAAAAUGAUGAAAAGGGGAAAAUUGUAUUUUAUUGAAAUUGAAAGAUAACAAGGUUUAUACAUCCAAAUGGAUGGAACAUAGGAUCUAAAUUACAACCCUGGAAUUAUCCAGAUAAACUGAAAGAAAAUCAAAGAAAACUACCAAAACUCCUUCCUGGUGGGGAGAGGAGUGGCUUCCCAAUUGUUAAUCUUUGCACUGGGCUCAACAAAUUGUACAUACGCCUUGCUAGAACCCUUUCCAUCUUCCACCAUAUUCACAUCGUCAAAUAACUUCUAAAACCUUUCAAGCAAUUCUUUUCCAGGACCAAUCAUAGAAUUGGUACUUGUUGUUGUUGGGCAUUUCUUGAUGUCAGGCCUGACAAAUGAUCUGAAGAGACGUGGGACAGGCUUUGGGAGGACCCAUGCCCUAUGUUUCAACCUUUUGGCUCUUUUCACUUAUGCAAUUGUGGGCUUGAAUCCCAAACCAAAUGUAUUCAUGUUUUUGGGGAGAGAUACUAGUUGUACGAUACCUUGUAGAGAUGCACCCAAACCCUUGCCCGGGAUAAAACCAUUUCUCAACAUUUCAACGGCUACCAUGCUGAUGUGGAAGCUACCUUCAGAACUGGAGUACACUCCCCUCCUAGAAUUUUCUCUAAUGAUAUCGUGUCAAAAACCUGGUAGAACCCAAGGCUCUUUGUCAUUCUCAGCUUCAAUGAAUGUUACAAUGGCAUCACUGUGGGCAUACAAAUUAUCCUUGCCGUGUACAGCUAUUUCUUGUCUAUCCCAUUCAAAAUUUACCAUUUCAUGCAGAGUAAAGGCAACUGCAUUAGCGGGAUGAAUCCAAGGUCGACCCAACAGUAGAUUGUAAGAUACAUCCACAUCUAACACCUGGAAUUCCAUGGUAAAGUAAACUGGUCUGAUUGUCAGCUUGAGCACUAUGUCACCGACUGAAUCUUUCCCUCCACCAUGUAUUGUUCUUGUGAAUUCUUUCAGCAUCCACUUUCAGCUUGUUCAGAGUCGGGAGAGGGAAAUUGUUUGUACUAGAACAGUUGUCGACCAGUACCUGGGUUACUACAGAAUCUUCACACUUCACCGUAAGAUAAAGGGCUUUAUUGUGCUCAGUACCCUCUAUGGCAAUUGAUUAUUAAAAAACGUGACUCUGUUUACCUCAAAAAUAUUGUUGGCUAUCUUUUCCAAGUGGUUCACUGAGAUUUUUUCAGGAACGUGGGCCUCGUUCAGGAUCUUCAUCAGUGCCCGAAUGCUCGUCCGAAUGAAUCAACAAUGACAACAGUGAGAUUUGAGCAAGCAUCUUCCUCAACUGCUCCACAAUAGAAUAGUCUUGCACCUUUAUCUUUCUCAAAAGCUCCUCGAUUUCUUCUUCAAUCACAGGUUUCUUCACAAAUACUGAGUUAUCUUUGGAGGUUUUAGGUUUUCUUAACUCCUUGUGGGAAAAGCAUCUCCCCGACCGGGUCAAUCCAUGGGUCUCGCAGACUUCUUCUUUUAACCUCUUUCCCUUUGUAAGUCACUGUCACUCGCUCAUAAUUCCAAGGGACGACCUUGUUGUUGACUAUUGGUAGCUAAGUUAAAAGUUUGAUAAUAACAGGCUCUGUGUGAGAACCUUCCACAACCACAACACGCUUGUUUGCUACACCUGGUACCACAACUUUUGCUUUUUCUUGUUUCACUGCACCAUCACUUGAGGACCCCUUCUUGAUCACUACAAUUAGUUCACUAUUUUCUCCGUUCAACUUGAUCACUGAUUUUUCCUUUGUUGACUUUUCAACCGGCCUAGAUUUGCUAGACCAAAUCAUCAUGACAAUCUGCAAUCUUAGGCUCCCCUCCUCUGUUUACUAACUCAAUCAUAUUUUCCUCAUAAUGAGCCGGCAAUGUGUUUUGAUUGAUAUUAGGCGUCUUUGGAGCUUGGAUUUCAAUCCGAAUUGUAUCAAUAAGUUCUUGAAUAGCUAUUUUUAAUUGCGAGCAUUUCUCCAUGUCGUGCCCCGGAGCACCAAAACAAUAUUCGCAACUCACAAAAUGGUACACAUUUCUCGGGGGAGGAUUUGGCAGUUUUGGCUCGAUCGGCCUCAGCAUACCCAAUUGUCUCAGCCUGUGGAACAAACUAGUAUAAUAUUCUUCCAAUGGAGCAAAAGUCUUCUUUUUCGGCAACCUCUCAUUCUUGAAGGCUUGAUUGUGCCGAAAACUUGUUCCACGAGGAUUUGGUUUGGCUCAUGGGAUGGAUAGGCGUUUUGUGGAGUUGGGUAGGUAUUCUGUAGGGAUGGGGCACACCAUUGUGCAUGGGCAGGAGGUUGAGUGUAUGUUUGUGCAUGAUGGAUAGGAAAACGGGGAUCUAGCAGUGGGUAGUAGUGUUGUGGUUGGCUCUACAGAUUGUAGGGGUAAUUUUGGUGGUGGGGUCGAGGCUGGUUGUAGUCGGAGGGUCAACCCUCUAUGACGACCCAAUGGGGUCAUCACUGGUUUCCUUUCUGAUUAUGUGCUUCCGAGGCCUUCAAACCUCAUCAGGUUUCUUCGAUUUGCGUGCACAAUCUGGGCGCGAGAAAAAUGCUAUAUUUGGAUAUUAAAUUGAAUAAAUUUGACUUCAGUCAACAUUUUGGGAAAACGAACUCGGACCCGUGAUUUGAAAGUCCCGAAGGGUCCACAAAAAAUAUGGGACUUAGGCUUAUGCCUGGAAUCGAAUUCCGAGGACCUAAACCCGAGAAAUGAGCUUUUGAGUAAAAUUGUUUUCUGAAAAUGUUUAAAGAAAAUGGAAAUAGAAUUUUAUUAAAUAUCAUGGUAUCAGGCCCGUAUUUUGGUUUUAGUGCUCGGUACAAGUCUUAUAUAUGGUUUAAGCGCUUUCUGUGAAGUUUGGUUGAAAACGGACGUCGUCUGACGUGUAUAAGACUUAAAAUGGGAAUUUGAUGUUUUAUGAAAAUUUGGAGGAAAUCAUGAGUUUUGAGGCUUAAUUAAAUGUAUAUGAUGAUAUUUUGGCGAUUUGAUUGCGAGAGUAAGUCCGUAGGAUAUUUUUGAGGUUAUGUGCAUAUUUGGUUUGGAGCCCCAGGGGCUCAGGUGAGUUUUGGAUAGGUGUCGGAUUGAAUUUUUGAAAUUUGGAAAAUCUGGUAUGAAUAGGCCUACAGGCCUGGUUCGUAAAUGUGAAGGCUGGAUCGCAAAUGCGAAACCAACCCGGUCUUGCUUGGCUCGCAAAUGCGAAGUGCUUCUGUUUGGCCUGAGUACACAAAUGCGAACAUGGCUUCGCAAUUCCCAUUACAGAAUUGCAAACCCCAGUUUGCAUUUCCCACAUCUGCAACCUGCAUUGUUCAUACUUGGUCGAUUUUAAGACAUUUUCACCCCAUUUUCAAAACACAACUCCUUUGGGCAUUUUUUUAUGAACAAACCUUCUCCCAAAUCAAUUGUGAGUUGAUUUUUACUCAUUUGUUUUAAUAAUUAACAUCAUUUAACAUGUUUUCAACUUAAAAUCAAGGGUUUUCAUGGGUGAAAUUGGGUAUUUUGGGUAGAACCUAGGUUUUUCAAAAAUUGGGGAUUUGGACCUCAAUUUGAGGUCCGAUUUCAGAACAAAUCAUAUAUUUGCAUUCAUGGGGGAAUGGGUAACCGGAUUUUGGUUAGAACCUCGGGUUUUGACCACGUGGGCCCAGGGGAGUUUUUAGACUUUUUGGGUAAAACUUUGGGAAAUUCAUUUUUAUGCAUUCAAAUUGAGUCAUGUAGCAUUUGUUGAUGUAUUUAUGUAAUUUGUGACUAGGUUCGAGCUGAUUUGUGGUGGAAUCGAGGGGUAAAGCUAUAAUCGAGGCUAAAGGUGAGUAAUAUAUGUAAAUGAUAUCCUGAGGAUUUCAAAUCUCGGAAUUGCACAUCGUAGUGCUAUAUUGAGGUGACUUGCACGCUGGAUAGCGAGUGUGGGGUAGAGCACCGUUGGGGGUUGAGACUUGGUCCAUCCUGAUAGAUGAAUUUACUAUGUAUUUGACUGAAUAUCACCUGUUAUCGUUAUGAUUUGAACUGAUUGUCAUAUUAGGGCCUUGUGCCGAUUGAUUGAGUCCUUCAGGGAUUGCUAUUACUAGUUUCUUGCCAUUUUACGUGUUGAACUUGGUCCUGGUAUUUAAUACUAUUUUUUUCAAACUUGAAACUUAAAUAAUAUUUCAAAUGAAGUUUGGGCUAAAUAUUUAUAUGUUAUUGUGCCCUAGGGGCUGAUGUGAUUCUGCAUUGAGUAUUGGAUCGGAUUGCGUGCCGAAGCGGUGUUAUAUUGAUAUUAAUAUGAGGCCGAGGGCCUAGAUGAUGCCACGAGAUGGCGUAUUUUGCUCUUAGACUGUAAGGGUCCCCUCACGCAGUCCGCACACCCUUAGUGAGCAUCGUCGACGAUAAAUAAAUGGAGCGGGCUGCACCCCGUAGCGGUUACUAGAGAGUACCGAACUAUGUGUUGCAUUUCCUAUUUGACUGUUAUUUACUUACUUAUCUGUUGCAGUAUUUCCUUAAUUGUUUUCAUUGGUUUACAGACUUUACACUACUUGGUUUACAUUACAUUACUGCAGGAUUUCUUAUUCUUAGCCUUUAUUUAUGUUUAUUACUCACUGGGUCGGAGUACUCACAUUACUCCCUGCACUUUGCGUGCAGAUCCAGGUACACCACAGGCUGAGUGAGGAUUUGUUUAGUUGAGUAGCAAUAUCCGGGAGUAUUGAGGUAGCUGCAUGGCGUUCGCAGCCUUGAUCUCUCCCCUCUAUUUUAUUCCUAUUUUUCCUAGACAGACUUGUAAUAGGUGGAUAUUCUGUAUUAGAGGCUCAUAUUCGUGACACCGGAUUCAAUUGGGCUAUGGUGUGGUAUUGUAAUUGAACUUCCGCAGAUUUUAUUAUUAUUUAUAAACUUGAAGUUAACGACUUAGUAAAUAUCCUUGUACACCUUGUAUGUAGAUCCAGGUGCAUCUGAGGCUGAGUGAGGAUUUCUCUACCGAGCAGCUUAUCCGCGAGUAUCAGGGUAGUUGCAUCAUGUCCGCGAUCUUGAUUUCCCUUCUAUCGUAUUGAUUCACUUUCGCAUUUCUUUAGAGCGAUCUGUAGUAGUUUUAUACUUAUGUAUUAGAGGCUCAAAAUUGUGAUACCGGAUUCUUCGGGCAAAGUAGUAGUACUGGUAUUUGGGAUUUCUGCAUGUUUUAACUCUAUAUCAGAAAUUUCAGUAUGACGAAUUAGUAAUUUAUCUAUAUUAAUUUAAUACAUGAACUAUAUAAAAAUGGUUGAGGUUAUUAAAUUGGUCGGGGUUGCGUAACAGUGUGUUGGGCGCUAUCACUAUCGGGGUUGGGGUCGUGACACCCUUAUUGCUUUCUCUCUCCAACCGAACCCAUAUUCCCUAAAACUUUCAUUGUGCCUUUUCUCACGUUUCGUCAAAGAAAGAUGAUUUAGAAUAAUCUCAAGAUUGUACUGGAAGUGGCAAGCAAAUGCCUGGGCUUGAUCAUCCCACGUAUACCACCUUUUUUUGUCUUGUCAGGUGUACCAUUCCAAUGUUGAAUCACUCAGACUUUGACUGAAAUAUGCCAUUAGAAACACGUCUUUCCCUCUAGCUCCCCUCAUUUUGCUACAAAACCCUCUCAGCUGUGCCACUGGAUAACCGUGCUCAUCAUACAAAUCAAACUUGGUCAUCUUAAACCCUACCAGUAAUUGCACAUCCUAAAACAAACAUAUAUCUUCGUAAGCUACACCUACUUGACCUCCCGACCCUCGGAUAUCUCUGAAUGAUUAUUCUAAGCUUUUAACUUUCCUGAACAUCCCCUAUUUUUCGGGGUUUUUGGAUGUUUUCUCAGCUUCCACGGAGAGAUCAAAAUAGAGAGUGUAUGAAUAGGGUUCUGGGUCUUUAAAAAUGGGCUCCGUAGGUUAUUACUGGUUAUUAUAGGCUUGGAACAAAGGUUUGCUGGAAGAUCUGUAGAUUGUGGCAGAUGGGGGUGCCACGAAGAUAGGCGUGGCUGGUUAAGGUAGGUACGGAACUGGUUUGGGUGGUGGAGCUAGUGGUGUUUGGGAAGUUAUGCUCUAGUACUUUGGUGGAUAAAAAAGCUCGGGGACGGAUCAAUUGUAGGAUGAUCCUACGACUGAGCCAAUGGCGGGAUGAAGGCAAGGUUGGCAGGUAAGUUGGUGGUGGUUUUCCUUUUGCCCAUGCUUGGUACAUUUCAACCAUUUGUUGUUUUAGUUUAUGCAUCUCUUUCUUUCAUCACAUUAACAUCCAACUCUUCCACCUCUUUCGAGUGGUCGGUGAUACUCAGAUCAGGAUCCUGUUGGCUAUAGUCAACUUGUUUUUGGACCGGGUAUUGUAUGGGUGGGUUGCCAGAAUGCCAGAAAACUAACCACCUGCCUGCUACUAGAGAACGACAACAAAUUUGUUAGCGGUCAGGGUUUAAUAGAUAGGCAACCACACAUUUGGGAAUGAAUGCACCUAAAUAGUUAUCAGUUUCUAUUAUGCAUUUGAUCGGCUGUUUGCGUCAUCCCGGAUUUUCCUUAUUUACAUUUACAACUUCUAUUUUUCUCUCAUUUUUCAUCCAUGCCCUUUUCUCUGCUUGAUUUCUCUUAAUUUUUUUAUUCUCUCUCUUAUUUGGCCCUUGUUUCCUUCUCAUGGUUUCUUAUUUUCCCUCUCCUUUCUCUUGUUUUUCCUCUAUUUUUCUUUCUUUCUUUUAAUAACUCUUUUAUUUUCCUUUUGGUCAUGGUCGAAUCCUAUGGACAUUGCCUACGUAUCAUGAUCCCGCAUGAAUCAGACCGAGCGUAGUUUUGGGGAAUAAGUAUAAUAUAAUAGCAUAUUCUAGAAUUUUCAAAUUUUCAUUAGAAGAAAUGCUUUGAUUACAAUGACUCAAAGGCUAGCAACCUCAAAAGAAACUAACAGACUCUAAUGAGAGGAGAAAAUACAGACUCAAGAAAAAACUGACAGACUCCAACAGAAGGUGAAAAUACAGACUCAAGUAUAGAUUAAUAGACUCCAAUGAAAAUCACGAAUACAUCAAUACCUCUACUACUCCUGGGGCCCGCAGGACAUCAUUCGGUCUCGCCACAGGCGUACGUGCUAAAUCACCUUGGAGGUUGUGGAGGUCUUCCAUUACUUUGCGGACAAAGGUCAUCGCAGCGUCAAAGAACAUGGACCUAGUCAUAUCUUCACAACUACUGCACUUCACCGCGAUGUAAUCGACGAUCCUUCUAACCCUCUCUCUUAUGACACCUUUUUCUUGCAACAAAUGCCUAAUCUGCUGGGCCCUGGCUUCCAAAGUUUGUUCAGCUUCUUGGUUUUACUCUUGAAGUUGUUGAAAAUCUUUUUCUAACUGUGUCAUUGUUGUAUAACAAUGUUCUCGUUCAGCCUUAAAGUCUUUCGCCUGCUUGACCAUUUUGUUCUCAACAAUGGUGGCCUUCUUUUAAAUCCCGCAACCUUGUUGUCAUACUUUUCUUUUAACUUUUAAUCAGGCUUGCUCGUUCCUCCGCAUUUUUUGUAAAUUGCUUUCGAUCCAUGGCUAUUUCACCCUCUGCUUUGUUUAAAUCAAAACUAUAUUCACCCACUUUCCACCUAAGGUAAUCUAUAAGUUUUUCAUCUUUUACGCUUCUGGUGGCUUUUUUCUGCCGCUAUUUUCAUCUUCUGAAUCUGGGCUCGAAGAGCCUCAUUUCCUUUGGCUAGUUUUUACUUCUCACCCUCAUCCGUUGCGAAUUUCAAACCAUUCUCGAAUUGAAGGUCUUUGACUUGUUUUUCCAGCUUUCCUAUUGGCUCUGUACUCAUUCUCCUUGGCCAUCCAAGCCCACUAUUCUUGCUAUGCCUCCUGAAUGUGAGGCCUUUUGGCUGGUCUUUCAGGUUUGGCCCUCGCAGUGUUAUUCUUUCUAUACCAGGUAAGAUAGGUGGGUGAGACCUCUCUUCUAGAUAGGUCACGCACUCGAGUAUACACCAUCAAAUACUGACACUCGUUCUAAAUAGAACGAACUAUUUCUUUAUGAAAUUGGUCGUCAGAGCUAACUUCGACCACAUAAACACUAAGAUCUUCAUCUAUGUACGUCACUUGACACCUUCCCAGCUGUCUCAUAACCCGAUAUGGAACGUAAGGCUGAAUGCCUCAAAGACUUAUUAGGAGGAAGUAAGGACCAGCGGCAGGCAGAUACACAAUUUCUUCAACAAGGAGCCAACCCAGUGUCCAUUCUAUUUGUCCCACAGUGAUGGAGCGAAGGCGGGAUACCCAAUCUCCAAACCCCUCUAGUAACUUGAACCCUGAAACCCUUGUGUAAAACUUGUCAAUGCAACCUUUCUCUGCAGACCUAUAACUCAUAUCCUGGGGGUGGUGACACAAGUGUUCAAUCAUCCACAUUUACAGUAGAAAAUUGCAUCCCUAGAAGAAAUCUGCCCCAACUUUACAAGUUGUAAGAGCUCAGUAUAUCUCAAAUCUAUCAUAGGGGCAAGGGUGCUCUUGGCGUUGGUGAUCAAGACUUGACGACUCUAGCUACCCGUAGAUUAAUGCUCCCAUCUUUUCGGGGAAAUACUUACAAGGCCAAGGAAAGCUACCAUGAAAGUGAAGCGCCUAUACUCAUCCCAUUUCGCUUGGUUCCUUUUGCAACAAACCCCACUUUCUGGGUCGUUGAAUCCUCCUACAUGCAUGUACCUCUGGUAUAUAAAACGUAGAGUGGAAAAAGCGUCCUCCAACACGGAGUAUGGGACUUCUUUGCUUAUCUUUAGCAAAUCCAUGCAUUUGUGGGGGCUACAGUACUUCCCAUAUAACCUGCUAUCUCUUCCAAGGUGGGUGUGAGUUCGAAAUCCGAGAAAUGCAGGAUGUUAUGAGCUGGGUCCCAAAACGUAACCAAUGCCUUUAUGAUGUCUCCUUUAGGCCUUAUCUUCAACAACCCGGUGAGACCUCACAAAUGUAGAUUGACCUUAUCUUGCUCUGAUUUACCCAAGACCUCCCACCACAUAUGCAACUCCAAAGGGAUCUUGUUCAUGACUGUUAUAGGCAAACUUUGACUCGUGCUCAUUCUGCAAAUUUAUAAGGGUGAUUAAGCAACAUCAAGACUCAUUUGACUGAAAAACAAAGUUAGCACUAGUUUUCUUUCAAAUCAAAAGAUUCGGCUUUGCAAAUACGGCCUUUCAGCACCUCAAGGACGAAGAUUUUAAGGCUUUGUUGGCUAACCGGCCAAAACCUUGAAAAAAGACCAAAGGCAGUUGCUUUUGCAAAAUCAGACUUCAAGCGCCCUUUUGGGGACAUUCGGCUAUUUUUGACAAGGAUGACAUCACCUUAAUUAUUCCAAUAAAAAAAAUUCCCUUUUUGUUGUUUUUUUUCUAAAUUUCAACAGAGCUUCAGCAUAUUUUGGGAUGCCGACGUCUUUCAAAAACAAGAAAUUUUCUCUCUUAGUCCUCACAUUGACCUUCCUUCUCUCAACAUUUCCCCCAUAAGCCGGUCAACAUGAAAAUAUGAGGUAAAUGAAUGCACAAGUAGCAAGUAGGAUGCAUCAGAAUGGCCUUUUUAUUUCGGGUACACCUGUCCUAUACAGACCCAACCCCUGUGUUGAGUGCCCUAAGUCAAAUGCAUGUGAUGCAAAUAAACGUCUCUACUAGAGAUCUGGCAUGAGGGUUUGUUAUACUAAGUUUGAAACCUAGGUCUAUUGUUCUAGACCUGGCUUACCCGAGCGGACAACUCGAACCGGAAGGGGACUGCGUCCCGGUAACCAAAAGAUCAUUCAGCUUUGCAACUUGUCCGAACCUCGUUCUUUUCGGGAUAUGACACUAACAAAAAGAAGUCACAACCAGCGUGCACUUCUUAUGAGAGAGAAGAGAGGGGUUUCAUAACAGUUUAUAUAUACAGUUCAGAUAAUAUCAAAGCGUUAAAGAAUCAUUUAACACAUUAGGCCAAAACAUGUAACAAAAUCAGAUAAUAGAUAAAGCCAAACAUAACAAUUCAUCUAAGCUUGAAUUCUGAAGCCUGAACUAGAUAUUCUGGGUUUGAUCCCCAGCAGAGUCGCUAGAGCUCUCACACCUCCUUUUUAUUACACCCUCUGAAAGGGUAGUACUAAGAGAGUAGAGUCGCCACUUGGCAUAAUUUAUGAUGUCAAGUCACCGGUUUAAAUCCUGAAUCGAGGAAAAGAUUCACUCUUUAUUACAGUCCGUGAACCAGAAAUCUGGGUAAGGUAUUAUGUUAACCCGGGAGAAUGUGUUAGGCAUUCCCGAGUUCUAUGGUUCAAGCAUAGUCGCUCAACUAUUAUACUUGGCCUAUUUAUCCAAUUUUAAUACAUGUUUUAGCCUAUGGUUCAAUUUUAACUUUAAUCGCUUUAGUUAAAUAUUUUUUUAAAGGAAAAUUGCAAUGUUAUUUAAAAUAUAUUUUGGACCAUAUCACAUAAAUGCACACAUAGUCCACAACAUAAUUUAUAUAACAUUAUUGAGACUUAGAUUUGGGUCACAUAAAUGCGCACCCGAGUUUAGGAAGGUAAAUUAAUUAAUGUGCCUAAAGCAAUUGUGCAUUUGCAACUUUGAGAGGGCCAUGGAAAUUCAACUAGAUGACACGCCUCGAAUUCUAAGGGUUAAACAAGACUAAAUAAAUGAGGGCCACGUGAUUGUGAUUUUUGUUUGGCAUGGCAUACCUUGAAUUAUUUAACCAAAAGGUUUCUAAAUUAAAACAAGAGGGCCAUAAAUUAUUCUUGUUUAAUAUGAUAUGUCUCCGCUAAUUAUACUAGCUAGAUAAAGUUUAAAGAAUUGUGGCUACUUUAAGCUAAUGCUCAAACCCAAACUAUUAAUUACGAAGCCCUCUAUACUUCAUUUUUUAAGCUUGGACAUGAAUUGAGGUCCAGCAACCGAUUGCAAAAGAAAGGGCCCAGAAUGUAAGAGCCCAUAACCCCAUUGGCCCAUGUCUUCUGGUUUAGGCCCAAAAGGAGAUCAUUGGUGAGGUGUAAACCAAAUGGAAGCUAAAGGUGGGCAGUUCGAACCCAAACAAGUACAAAAAUGGAAUUUAGGGAUUUUUUUAAAACGAAGAAGAUACGGAUAGUAACCAUAUUCUGUAUAGGACCAAUCUUUAAUUAUACAAGGAGAUUUGUCAUUCAAAACAAUCGCAAAUAUCUUCAACCAGCCAUGAAUUGUACUGACUUUUCUAAACCUUUAUAAAUUUUGCAUACAUACAUCAAACAAUCGAAUAAUGAUUAUAUAGACUUCAUUUUUAUUGAGUGUGCAAUCAGACAACAGCUUGGCAUAGUUGUUAUGCUUCAUUCCACCCUUAGAUCCUAAUUAACAUUCCAACAUCAAACUCAAAUUUAAGACUAACAUUUUCAGCUGAGAUAAUCAAUAGAACUGCCUUCCCUUAUGUGAUUGAACAUGAUAAUAAACCUCUUUAACAAUUGAAAAUCAAUACCAAGCUACCAUAUAGCCUACAAUUAGUCCCUAAUAGUUACCAUGUUUCAAGAGUGAUAAGAACUCAACUAUUACAAUUUAAAUUCUGCAUAUAUUUCUAAUAACUACUGAAAGGGCAACAUCAAAUCUGCAACUACAACAACAAUAAAAUUUGUAUGACUUCAGCAAUUGCAGAGCCCAUUCAAGCUGGAUAAGCUACUACCUAAUCUGACUAACAGGACCCAUAAAUUGUACACACUAGGUGUAUAGGAAGUUAAACAAUAUUUGUAUUUAGAAUGACUAACUAAGAUUUACGUAGAAAAAGGAUUUGAAGAGAAAGCUUAACACAUAAAUAGAACACAUGACUGAAUAUCAAACUUCCAAUUUCCAUUUUCAUUUUACAUUCAAUUUGAAGAUCACGUUAUGCAGGUUUCAGAACAAGUACUUGGGAUUUGCACCAAAAAAAUGGAGGUGAAUAGUAAGCAAAUAGCAACAACAGAAUGACAGUCCCUAACUCAAUCAUUUGAGCAGUGAAAUCAACUCAUAAGACCAGUGCAACAAUAACUUAGUUGCAGAAUUCGACCCAGAUUUAAAAAAAAAAAUUCAAGCCAUUUCAAUCCCAAACUAAUCGGAAAUUGCUUCAGAUAUUGAAAAAAAAAACCCAAAUAUCACAAAAGGAAUCCAAUGCAAUAAUGACUUAUAAAGUUUUAACCGUUUUUGUUUUUCUGGACUUUCUAUCACUUAGUUCUCUACCUUGAAAGGCAAGGUAGAGAUGCCUCGCAUGGAUAGUAGGGCAACUAGCAGAAUUCAAUUUUGCAUUUCUGCCCUUUUCUAAUAUUUGGUUUUUGCUAGUUAAUCCUUGAAUUUUUGACUUGCUUGCCAAGUAAGGCUAUUUUCAGCUUCUAGGAAGCUUCCUAGGCAGUUAUCCACAGAUUUUCUAAGUUAAACUACCCAAAUUACCCAUGAACCCCUGUUUAAUUACCCUUCAGAACUUCCAACGGGUCAUGGGUCAAAUGACCCAAUGGUUCCUGGUCCUAGGAAAUCACUUCAAAUUCCUGGGAAUGAGUUCAAGGCCCAAAUAGUAGAAUGACCUAAAUCUAGCAAAUUAUGAAAAAUUGUAAAGAAGUAAAUAACACAAAAUUUAAAACCUAAACUAAAGUACCAUUUAAUGCAAAAUAAACUAAUUUAUCACAUCAUCCUAGUUAUGUUAAAUUUAAAGUACUAAGUUAAGAUAGUGAAAUCAAAACUAAUCAAGCCAUUAACAAAAGGAAAGCAAGCCAAACACAAUUAGAGACUAAGCCUGGAAAGAAUAACUGAAAGAGAACAGAUGGACAGGGUUUUGUCUUGGUCGAAAAAUUUGGUCGAUUUUCGGCUGAAUUAACCCAGGAGAAUGAAAAAAGAAAGAAAGAAAAUCAAAGGAAAGAAUAAACUUACCGACUCGGCUGACCUUGAUUCAACACCCAAAUAGCGCCAAUCGCUUGUUCUUUGCCAAGAACCAGCGGACAACGUUAUUUUGAGAGCAAAAAAACUUUGAACAUUGAGAAAGCGUUGGAGGGAGGUCCUUGCAUGCAUAAAUCCUACUUAGCUUCUAAGGCUCGAACCCUAAUUUUUGAGAUUCGAGGAGUUCUAGACUUACUCGAAGGGUACAAAGUGGGGGUCUGGAAAGUAAGGAAGGAAGGGGUCAUGAGGUAUUAAUUUGGGGCUGAUUGGGUCACGCUGCCGCCGAUAGAGGCUUGGGAAUUUUGGGGAAGAGGCUAGGGUUCAGGGUCUCUGAAAGGGGUGAGUUGAAACUAGAGAUGGUGGGGGGGCUUAGGUGUUCCGACAUAUAUAUAUUAAAACCCACCCCAGUUCUCGUCCGUUGGAUAAAAUAAAAUUAACGGCACAGAUCAACAUAACGAAAACGGGAUCAUUUGGUCUCAAAGUGGGGAAAGAC
rnacentral:lncRNA from 1 species